rnacentral:lncRNA from 13 species
AUGAGUCAAGUGGCCUACUACCUGGGCUGCCGGCUGAAGACGGAAGUCCCUGGCUAUCUGUGUUCUUCCCGAAACAUCAGCAAGGUGACAUCUGGCAGACCUCCAUCCAGAAGAAACACUGAGUUGAACAUUCCGGAAGGCAUUGAGAAAUCCUGGUCCCAGCAGGAAGAUAAACCGAAUAUCGGAGGCAGCAAAAAUAGACUUCUUAUGAGUCAGGUCGACUACUCCUUGAACUGUCGGCCGAAGACAUGCAGUAAGUUCUAUAGGCUGACCACCACGAAAGUUAUGAAUGAUGUCCUGUCUUGUCUCGAGAAACUAACCGCUCUCUUCAUCAAAAUUAAUUUCAUCCUUCCCAUUCUUGUAGAAAAUAGCAAUGGGUAUUUUUAACAUUUAGUUAAAAUGGAAGACAGACACCAAAAUAUUUAGCAACAUUUCCACAUCUGCAGUAAGGUGGGUGUGGGACUAUGGGACUGUGGGACUGGGGUUACAAUCAUAGCUAUUGAUUCCUGACUCAGGCACAGAACCACCUGUUUUUCUUAGCAAGAGGCUAAAUCCAUGUUUACAGGAAUCCUCUCUGUACCGUGUAAGAUUUUACAGACAAAUAGCAUCUAGUCUGCGGGUCUAAAUGUCUGAGGCUACUGAACUUCCGGGCAGUUCCGGUUUCUGAUAAAGGUCCAGUAGGCAAAGAUGUGUUCUGGGUACCCUGGGGGAAACAUGGUGAUACCAAACAGUACCCACUGUGAGGAGCUUAAACGGGACCCUGCUCCUAAUAGAACCUAUGCUUUCUGUAAGUGGCACCAUCAAGAGCAGGGAGUACUGAGGUAUUGGUGCCUCAGCCAGCCAAUUAGCUGGGAUCCCCGGUGGGCACCACCACAUCUUGCUAAUUUUUGUGUUUUAUGUAAAGGCAAGGUUUCACCACGUUGGCCAGGCUGGUCUUGAACUCCUGAGGUCAGGUGAUCUGCGUGCCUGGGCCUCCUAAGUUGCUUGGAUUCCAGAUAUCAGCCACCAUGCUGGCUCCACAGAUUCUUUUUCAGUAAAGGUUGUUAAAUUCAUCUGUCGGUCCGGUCUCCUAUAUAAAUUUCUCUAACCAUUCAUUGGCCAUGAUAUAUGAUGAGAUAAUUAGUAUUGCAGCAACCCUUCUGGAAAGUAGUUAGGGCAAUUUUUGAAGGUUUGGGGAGGAAAAGUUUUAAUUGUUUGCACUGACUUAGGUCAGAGGACACACGAUUCAUAUCUACCAGAUGAGAGAGGUUUUGUCCCAUGGGUCUUAAAAGCAGGCUCACCUACUUCUCAGGUGACUUAAUCUAGGGUCCAAUAGAACAUUCCAGUCAGAAUAUCACAUUUAUACACUGAGAAUAUUUUAUGUCCUUGUGCUGUGACUGGACACUGAUUUGGUCUUGUGUGAAGUGUGAUGUGUUCAAUGUGAGCUGCUCUUCUAAAUUUGUUUACAGAAGGACAAGAUCGUGAAAUAGAGAAAUACAGAGAAAGCAAAAAUAAAGUUCUUAUGAGGCAAGCGGCCUACUAUAUA